GUCGGUAUCGAUUAGGGGUUAAAUCACUUCGUUGUGGAAGCAGCUCCGAAGAGCCGCUGGUUCGAUUCCAGCUACCGACA
rnacentral:tRNA from 1 species